rnacentral:rRNA from 1 species
UGUGUCCUACGGGGCGCAGCAGUGAGGAAUAUUGGUCAAUGGGCGCGAGCCUGAACCAGCCAAGUAGCGUGAAGGAUGACUGCCCUACGGGUUGUAAACUUCUUUUAUAAAGGAAUAAAGUGAGGCACGUGUGCCUUUUUGUAUGUACUUUAUGAAUAAGGAUCGGCUAACUCCGUGCCAGCAGCCGCGGUAAUACGGAGGAUCCGAGCGUUAUCCGGAUUUAUUGGGUUUAAAGUGAGCGUAGAUGGGUUGUUACGUCAGUUGUGAAAGUUUGCUGCUC